GGUUUGUUGAAGUGAUAGGUCAAAAACCACACUUGUCACAGUUAUGUCUGUCCCAAUUAUUCAUCAGAGGGCACUCUGGAUGGCCGUUCUUAUAAUCCUUGAAGUAUCUGAGUACAACACAUUUAAUCUUUCUCUUCUGCUUAUUCAUUUUUCAGGUGGUAUAAGACUUCUUGGUCUUCUGGGCACUACCUCAAAAUCUCAGCACAAGAUGAAGGCUCUUUCUACCCUGUCAUCUACUCCAGUGGAAACUAGAACUGAUUGGAAUAUUGGGCCAGAUGACCUCUAAGGAACCUAAACAUUCUGCCUGACCUGGACCAGAGCUGAACUCCAUCAAGUAGACAUGCCAGCUGAUUGACUCUGGGGAGACUCUGGGAAGCAAAAGCAAGAGAGCCUCUCCAUAUCUCCAAAAUACCCUUCUGUCCCACCCACAUCCCCCAGGGCUUGGGAUUCUAGAAUCCAAGUUUACUGCUUUGUAGCACUAGCCAUUCUACUUAGACUUUGAACCUAAGGUGUCUGAACCUCACCCCUUAUGGUGGCAGGGACAAUCAA
rnacentral:lncRNA from 1 species